UCCACGUCGUGUUGUUUUCCGCGUCUGUGUACGUGUGUGUGUGAGUGUAUACGAGGACGAUCGUAGGAGCGCGAGAGAGCAGAAGCUACGACGAUAUCGGGACACCAAGGCAGCAGCAGCAGCAGCAGACGCGCAACGUAGUACGACACACUAAUUGUACGUACGGGACACACGCGUGCAUGCACGCACACACACACACGCGCGCGCGCUUGCUACACGCUCACACUCUCUCCUUCUCUAUAGAGUACGCAUCACACACGACGAGACCGUCAACGGGUUCUCCACGCACGAAACACAACACCCCGCCCGACAACGACGCACCACGAACUGAACCGUACCGAGACUGAGCAGGCCUCGGAAACGCGACUCGGAGAAGAGGGGCAACCGGCCGCAACGUGGGGGGAACUAUCAUUGCGAGGUUGGUGGCGAAGGGAGAGAAACGGGGAGAUCUAUCGCAGGCGCGGACGUAACGCGUCGGGCGCCCCGCGCUCUCGAAACGCCUCGACACUCCGAUCGCCGUCAAAUCUCUGCAUCCUAAUAGUGAAGCAACAUCGAGAUUCAGGCGCGGAUUCAUUCUCGUGAUCCCAUGCAAAUUCCAUCCCCAUGAAUGUACAUCCCUGGACGCUUACGGGGCUUAAUAUCGCCGAGGGUAACAGAGAGGAAGGAAGAUAGGGGCAGCCCUACGAGCAGGAAUACUGACGCUGAGGCUGCGAGCGCGACGAAGGGACCGUCGAAUGAAAGA